rnacentral:lncRNA from 1 species
GAGGACCCUUCUGCAUCUUUUCAGUGGCUAUGUGGCUCCCAACAGUGUUGGCAGUGUUUCUGGGUGCAGCCCCUGACCUCUUCUUCAGUCAGCAGUCCUUGGAUGAGUCCUUCAGUGACACAAGAGCAUUUGAAACAUCUUACUGCUCACAGGGAAUCAAGGUUGACAAAGACUUUAGUGGGAAAGACCUUCUGAUGGUGUAUGAACGGGACUGCCAUUAUUGCCAGCUUGCCUGCACUCAGAACCCUCAGUGUUCCUGCUUCAGCUACGUGGUUAAAGAGUAUAAUCUAUUUGUGUGUUUGGGUUGCCUGUUUGGGUGGUGGUCGCACCACUUGUUUUGGUCAAUAGUUGAAGGUUGGGGCUAGAGAAAUAUCACUGCUCUCAAAUGCAGAGCUAUGGAUUCAAGGACUGACAAUGAAUGAGAUCAAAAUUAUGACCAGUAUUUGUUUACAAUGACAUUGAUUACAUUUCUUUAAAUGUAAAAUAGAAAGGACAUAGGAAGUGCAUCCGUAUUGUCUUUUACUUUCAAAACAGAUUCUACUGCUAUCAAAAGUAUUCCUUUGGUCAACCAACUAUGACAAUCUAUCCUGGAGUCACAUCUGGUUACACUAGGAAGGACUGCAGUGAAGGUAUGGACCAAUAUAACAAACUGUACACAUAUUACUUACAAUUCU